AUUGAACGCUGGCGGCAGGCCUAACACAUGCAAGUCGAGCAGAUGAAGGGAGCUUGCUCCUGGAUUCAGCGGCGGACGGGUGAGUAAUGCCUAGGAAUCUGCCUGGUAGUGGGGGACAACGUUUCGAAAGGAACGCUAAUACCGCAUACGUCCUACGGGAGAAAGCAGGGGACCUUCGGGCCUUACGCUAUCAGAUGAGCCUAGGUCGGAUUAGCUAGUUGGUGAGGUAAUGGCUCACCAAGGCGACGGUCCGUAACUGGUCUGAGAGGAUGAUCAGUCACACUGGAGCUGAGACACGGUCCAGACUCCUACGGGAGGCAGCAGUGGGGAAUAUUGGACAAUGGGCGAAAGCCUGAUCCAGCCAUGCCGCGUGUGUGAAGAAGGUCUUCGGAUUGUAAAGCACUUUAAGUUGGGAGGAAGGGCAGUAAGCUAAUACCUUGCUGUUUUGACGUUACCGACAGAAUAAGCACCGGCUAACUCUGUGCCAGCCGCCGCCGUAACAC
rnacentral:rRNA from 1 species